GUGCUCCCUUUGGCAGCACACAUAUUAAAAUUGGAACAAUACAGAGAAGAGUAUCAUGGCCCCUGCACAAGGAUAAUAUGCAAAUUAAUGAAGCGCUCCAUAUUUUU